GGCGUAAAGAGCGUGUAGGCGGAUAGAUAAGUCAGAAGUGAAAUCCAAUAGCUUAACUAUUGAACUGCUUUUGAAACUGUCUAUCUAGAGUAUGGGAGAGGUAGAUGGAAUUUC
rnacentral:rRNA from 1 species